rnacentral:rRNA from 1 species
CGCGCGCUACACUGAAGGAAUCAGCGUGUCUUGCCUUGCCGACAGGCCCGGGUAUCCCGUUGAACCUCCUUCGUGCUAGGGAUUGGGGCUUGCAAUUGUUCUCCAUGAACGAGGAAAUUCCCAGUAAGCCGAGUCAUAAGCUCGCGUAGAUUACGUCCCUGCCCUUUGUACACACCGCCCGUCGCUACUACCGAUUGAAUGAUUUAGUGAGGUCUUCGGACUGGUGCGCGCGAUCGGUUCUGCCGGUCGCCGAUGUUGCCGGAAAGAU